CCAGCACCCCGAGUAGUCGGGACGAUUAUUGGGCCUAAAGCAUCCGUAGCCUGUUCUGCAAGUCCUCCGUUAAAUCCAACUGCUCAACGGUUGGGCUGCGGAGGAGACUGCAGAGCUAGGAGGCGGGAGAGGCAAACGGUACUCAGUGGGUAGGGGUAAAAUCCAUUGAUCUACUGAAGACCACCAGUGGCGAAGGCGGUUUGCCAGAACGCGCUCGACGGUGAGGGAUGAAAGCUGGGGGAGCAAACCGGAUUAGAUACCCGGGUAGUCCCAGCUGUAAACGAUGCAGACUCGGUGAUGGGUUGGCUUCGGGCCAACCCAGUGCCGCAGGGAAGCCGUUAAGUCUGCCGCCUGGGGAGUACGGUCGCAAGACUG
rnacentral:rRNA from 1 species